AUUGGUGUGAUGAUAGACUUACCGCCCCAGUCUGAUAUUUCAUGACUGAUUGGUUUUCCUGAUUUUCU